CGAGUAAUUUGAUAUAGAUUAAUGGAUAAAAGAAAGAAAAAAAAAUCCGGCUCAGGCAAAAAUGGCCUUAAAUAAAACAUUAGUAUGAAAAAAAAAACAAGGCCAAAAACAAGACUAAAACGCGUUUUUAGUAACACGCGAUAAACUGUAGGAUAAGAUGGCACUGGGAUGAAAAGAUAAAGACCUAAUAUUUCGGCUCAGUGAAGAGGAGGAGAAUUCGACAAAAUCUCACCAAACAAAACAUUAACACGAAAAAAGGAAGAUAAAACAAAAAUAAAAAGAAAUAAUCAGUAAUCUGAGAUAGAAAUCAAGAAAAAAAAUAUAUUGCGGCGAUGAGAAAAAGAUAAAUAUCUCGGCACAGCGGGAAGGAGGGUUCGGCGUCAGUCAGUCAGCUGAUGGCGUGUUGAGAGGAGGAAGCCGCGCCACCCUCUCUCUAUUUGAUGUGUGAAUUGUGUGUUCCGGUGAUUGUGUAGUGUUCUAAAAGUGCCAUUGGAGAGGGAAAUAGUCAGGAAAGUAGUGGACAAGGGAGGACAAUUAAUAGUACAUCGUUUAAGGUAAGUUUGCCCAGACCAACGCCCGCUGCAAGAAGGCCCCGCCCACAUCUGCCCACCUGCCCACCGCCCACUGCAUUCCCGCCCGCUGCACGCCCACCCCAGCACGGCGCCCCAAGGUUGAGAGGCGCCUCCUGCUGGCCACGGGGACGCCACGCCCUAUAGGUGAGUGCCCUGCCCGCCCUACCUGUUAAUUGGUCGUUAAUCACCUCACCUGGGCCUUCUGUAUUACCUGUGUCUAAGGGUACCUAUGACCUG